rnacentral:rRNA from 1 species
GCUGAUCCUGCUGGAGGAUACUGCUAUCGAAAUCCGACUUAGACAAGCAAGUUUUGGAGACACAACUACGGGUGUUUCUGGCGAACGGCUCAGUAACACGUGGAUAAUCUAACCCUGAGAGGGGCCAAACCCGGGAAACUGGGCAUGAUACCCCAUAGGCAACUGAUACUGGAAGGUUCAAUUGUCAAAAUGCAUUACAAUCCAUGUUUUGUAUUGCGCUCAAGGAUGAGUCUGCGGUGGAUUAGGCUGUUGGCGGGGUAAUGGCCCACCAAACCUUUGAUCCAUACGGGCCUUGGAAGAGGUAGCCCGGAGAAGGACACUGAGAUAAGGGUCCUAGCCCUACGGGGUGCAGCAGUCGCGGAAACUUUACAAUGCGCGAAAGCGUGAUAAGGGGAUUUCGAGUGCAAGCUCUGCUUGCUUUUGCCAAGCGUAAAAAACUUGGCGAAUAAGUGGAGGGUAAGAUACGUGCCAGCCGCCGCGGUAAUACGUACUCCACAAGUGGUAUCCGCUGAUAUUGGGCCUAAAAAGUCUGUAGCCUGUUCGAAAAGUCUUCGGUGAAAUCCAAUUGCUCAACAAUUGGAAUGGCCAAAGAUACUCUCGAACUCGAGACCGGGAGAGGUUAAGGGAAUUUCCGGAGUAGCGGUGAAAUGUUAUGAUCCCGGAAAGACCACCAGUAGCGAAGGCGCUUAACCAGAACGGGUCUGACGGUGAGAGACGAAAGCUGGGGGAGCGACCCGGAUUAGAUACCCGGUUAGUCCCAGCCGUAAACGAUGUGGACUAGGUGUCCCAUCACCUUCGAGGUGCUGGGGUGCCGAAGCGAAGGCAUUAAGUCCACUGCCAGGGAAGUACACUCGCAAGGGUGAAACUUAAUGGAAUUGGCGGGAGCUCACUACAAGGGGUGGAUGCUGCGGUUCAAUUGGAUAAAACCCCAGAUAAUCUUACCAGGGCCGACAGCAGAAUGAUGGACAGUCUGAAGGGCUUUCCUGACGCGCUGAGAGGUGUUGUAUGGUCAUCGUCAGCUCGUACUGUGAAGCGUCCUGUUAACUCAGGCAACGGGCGAGACCCACACUCAUAGUUGCAACUUCAAGAAUUUCUUGGGGGCACUCUAUGGGAACUGCAACAGCAAUGUUGAGGAAGGAGUGGGCUACGGUAGAUCUGUAUGGCCCGAAUGCCCUGGGCAACACGCGGCAUACAAUGGCUAAGACAAAGGGUCACGACGCCGAAAGGCGAAGUUAAUCCCCUAAACUUAGUCUCAGUCCAGAUCGGGGGUUGUAACUCACCCUCGUGAAUGCCUGGAAUCCCCAGUAAUCGCAGUUCAUUAUACUGCGGUGAAUAAGUCCCUGAGCUUUGCACACACCGCCCAUCAAGCCAGUUGAGUAGAGUUUAGAUGAGGUACCCUCCUUAAGGGCGACGAUUCUGAGUUCUGCGAGACGGGC